ACUCCUACGGGAGGCAGCAGUUGGAAUAUUGCACAAUGGGCGAAAGCCUGAUGCAGCAAUCCCGCGUGAGUGAUGAAGGCCCUCGGGUCGUAAAGCUCUUUCAGCAGGGAAGAAUCACUGACGGUACCUGCAGAAGAAGCACCGGCUAACUACGUGCCAGCAGCCGCGGUAAUACGUAGGGUGCAAGCGUUGUUCGGAAUCAUUGGGCGUAAAGCGCGUGUAGGCGGUGAGUUAAGUCUGAUGUGAAAGCCC
rnacentral:rRNA from 1 species